GGCCCCGUAGCUCAGUUGUAUAGAGCAUCAGAUUCCGGUUCUGAGUGUCAUGGGUUAGAGUCCCAUCGGGGUCACCA
rnacentral:tRNA from 1 species